UACGAAGGGGGGCUAGCGUUGCUCGGAAUCACUGGGCGUAAAGGGUGCGUAGGCGGGUCUUUAAGUCAGGGGUGAAAUCCUGGAGCUCAACUCCAGAACUGCCUUUGAUACUGAGGAUCUUGAGUCCGGGAGAGGUGAGUGGAACUGCGAGUGUAGAGGUGAAAUUCGUAGAUAUUCGCAAGAACACCAGUGGCGAAGGCGCUCACUGGCCCGGUACUGACGCUGAGGCACGGAAAGCCAGGG
rnacentral:rRNA from 1 species